rnacentral:rRNA from 1 species
AGUGAACGCUGGCGGCAGGCCUAAUACAUGCAAGUCGAACGGCAGCACAGUGGAGCUUGCUCCAUGGGUGGCGAGUGGCGGACGGGUGAGGAAUACAUGGGAAUCUGCCCAGUCGUGGGGGAUAACGUAGGGAAACUUACGCUAAUACCGCAUGCGCCCUUCGGGGGAAAGCCGGGGACCUUCGGGCCUGGCGCGAUUGGAUGAGCCCAUGUUCGAUUAGCUAGUUGGCGGGGUAAAGGCCCACCAAGGCGACGAUCGAUAGCUGGUCGGAGAGGAUGAUCAGCCACACUGGAACUGAGACACGGCCCAGACUCCUACGGGAGGCAGCAGUAGGGAAUAUUGGACAAUGGGCGCAAGCCUGAUCCAGCCAUGCCGCGUGAGUGAAGAAGGCCCUCGGGUUGUAAAGCUCUUUUGUCCGGGAAGAAAAGCAUCGGGCUAAUACCUCGGUGUUCUGACGGUACCGGAAGAAUAAGCACCGGCUAACUUCGUG